rnacentral:lncRNA from 1 species
GGUCAAAUUGGAGGAAUACCAAGUACCCUGGGAGUCUGCCUGGUGUGUGUGCUUUCUUUGGGGAUACAGCAGGAAAUGCUCUUGGACUGGGUCAAGAAAGAAGUGUUUUGCUUGGAAGAGAAGGUGUUUCUCCUGAUGCAUGUUUCUGUACCACAUGUGAGCAGUGCCUGUGGAAACCUGAAAUGGUAUGGAAUCCCCCUGGGACUGGAGUUACAGACUGUGUGAGUGGACAUGCUCAUUCUGGGAAUGGACUGUCAAACUUCUGGAAAAGCGACUGUUGCUCUUAAUCACUAAGCCAUCUCUCCACUCCCUUUAUUCAUUUCUUAUGUAGUCAAGGGGAACAAAAAGAUGAGAGUUUAAAUAUUAAGUGGUCAAAAAAUUCCAAAGUAGAACCUGAUGUGAAGUUUUUAAUCCCAGCACUAAGGAGACAGAGGCAGGAGGAUCUCUGCGAGUUCAAGGGCAGCCUGGUCUAUGUUAUUUAGUGAGUUCCACGACAGCCAAGGCCACCUAGAAGCAACUUUUCCUAAAAACGGCCAAACAAAACAAGACAAAAAAAAUUCUGAAUUGGAAGGGUUGGGGAUUUAGCUCAGCGGUAGAGCGCUUGCCUAGCAGGCGCAAGGCCCUGGGUUCGGUCCCCAGCUCCGAAAAAAAGAUCC